GAUGAACGCUGGCGGCGUGCUUAACACAUGCAAGUCGAACGGAGUUUAUAUGAAACCUAGUGAUUAUAAACUUAGUGGCGGACGGGUGAGUAACGCGUGGGUAACCUGCCUUAUACCGGGGGACAACAGUUAGAAAUGACUGCUAAUACCGCAUAAGCGCACGGUAUCGCAUGAUACAGUGUGAAAAACUCCGGUGGUAUAAGAUGGACCCGCGUCUGAUUAGCCAGUUGGUGAGGUAACGGCCCACCAAAGCAACGAUCAGUAGCCGCCCUGAGAGGGUGAACGGCCACAUUGGGACUGAGACACGGCCCAAACUCC
rnacentral:rRNA from 1 species